rnacentral:lncRNA from 10 species
UUAUGCCAACCACUUUACAUACAUGAUCUGAUGGAAUCCUCAGCACAGCUGAUGAGGGAGUUACUGUUAUUUUCCUAGCCAUACAGUUAGUAGCUGACACUACAGGGAACAGACACACUUACUGUCUAUGAGGAUCUCUUCUAAACACUUUCCAUGCAUUAACUAAUUUUUUGGGGAAACUGAGGCAGAGCAGGAGCAAAGCCAGUUGUCCAGUGUCACACAACUGGUGGGUGUGGACCUGAAACCACUGGAGGCUGGGUGAUUCCAGAAUGGAGGGUUCACCCCUGCACUACCCCCUGAUUUUCCAAGUGGGGUAACAGGUUCGGAGACAGUCAGGGAAGAGAAACCAGGGUGAGAUGGGUUAGUUCAGAUGAGGUCAAAGGUUGCACUCUCUUCUGCUUCCUGACAAGCAUAAUGAGAGGCACCCAUGGGAACAGAAGCUCAGACAUCUGACCCUGAGCCCUCUGCCACUCUUCCUUCCUCUCCUCUGGCCCAGUUGGUCUGAACCGUGUUGUUCCAGGUCUCACGGGAGCUGUAAUCCCAGCUACUUGGGAGGCCGAGGUGGGAGAAUCGCUUGAACCUGGAAGGUGGAGGCUGCAGUGAGCCGAGAUUGCGCCAUGGCACUCUAGCCUGGGUGACAGAAUGAGACUCCAU